GGGAUUGCCUCAGUAACGGCGAGUGAAGCGGCAACAGCUCAAAUUUUAAAGCUGGCGUCUUCGGCGCCCGCGUUGUAAUUUGGAGAGGCAACUUCGGUUUGGGCGCCAGCCUAUGUUCCUUGGAACAGGACGUCACAGAGGGUGAGAAUCCCGUGCUUGGCUGGCUGUCCCUUUCCAUGUGAAGUGCCUUCGACGAGUCGAGUUGUUUGGGAAUGCAGCUCAAAAUGGGUGGUAAAUUCCAUCUAAAGCUAAAUAUUGGCGGGAGACCGAUAGCGCACAAGUAGAGUGAUCGAAAGAUGAAAAGCACUUUGAAAAUAGAGUUAAAAAGUACGUGAAAUUGUUGAAAGGGAAGCGCUUGAGACCAGACUCGGCCGGAGAUGAUCAGCCGUCCUUCUGGGCGGUGCACUUGUCUCCGGUCGGGCCAGCAUCGGUUGAGACGGCGGGAUAAAGGCCCGGGGAAUGUGGCUCCUUUUGGGGAGUGUUAUAGCCCCGGGCGCAAUGCCGCCAGCCUCGACCGAGGACCGCGCUUUUUGCUAGGAUGCUGGCGUAAUGGUCUUCAGCGACCCGUCUUGAAACACGGACCAAGGAGUCUAACAUCUAUGCGAGUGUUUGGGUGUCAAACCCUUGCGCGUAAUGAAAGUGAACGGAGGUGGGAACCCCCUCGCGGGGCGCACCAUCGACCGGUCCUGAUGUCUUCGGAUGGAUCUGAGUAGGAGCAUAGCUGUUGGGACCCGAAAGAUGGUGAACUAUGCCUGAAUAGGGUGAAGCCAGAGGAAACUCUGGUGGAGGCUCGCAGCGGUUCUGACGUGCAAAUCGAUCGUCAAAUUUGGGUAUAGGGGCGAAAGACUAAUCGAACCAUCUAGUAGCUGG
rnacentral:rRNA from 1 species